AGGGGCAUAGCUCAGGGGUAGAGCACAUGCUCAGCAUGCACGAGGUCCUGGGUUCAAAUCCCAGUAACUCCA
rnacentral:tRNA from 1 species